ensembl:lncRNA
AUGCCACCUCCUAGGGUGACCCUACAAACAAUAUCUUCACAGGCGUUGCUCACCGAGGAAAAAGUCAUUCUCUCUCUGGCCACAGGGAGCCCCACAACUACCGUUAUGAGUCCUGGGGAGAAGACAAGGGGGAGAGCAAAAGCCACGGCCUCUAAGCUGCCUGCCCGGAGCCACAGGAGUUGCUGUCCACAUUAAGCCACAGGCGGAUAUAAAAAUGGAAGGUACGAGAAGAAUCCGGUUGUUUGGUUAACUGCAGACAGUCCAAGUGUAGCUACUUGAAUGGCUCUUGAUGCUUAUGUGAAUGAUGGCAUAAUGCGCUUGUGCUUACAAUGUUAGAAUUGACUGAAGGUCAUAGGUAAGUCCCAUUUCGUUUUCCAGCGCUAUUAACAGCACAUCAGUCAACACACAAAUGUUUCUGUAGGUUAAGCGACAGGUCAGUGUGUCCAGCUGGAUGUGACCAAUAACUUCACUCAGAAGUUCAGGAGUGUAAUUUAAAGUCACUUUUGUUGUGAGCCUCCGUUCCUGAGGUGAAAGUGGCACCGGUCACAUCCCUUGAGAAACACGGGCCUGUUGGCUGACCUCUGUAGCACCACAUUAGACAGAACGCUAGAAACUGGUGGUUAAUCCCUCCACAAGGAAGCUCAGUGCGUUGUGCUGGCAGGAAAUUAUGGCUUGGUUAGAGCAGAUGUAGGGCUUUUGUCAUUGUUACUCAGUGCAGAAAAUGAAAGCACAAGGAGGCAAAGUCAGGCGGUAGGUCGGGGACAUGGCUUCUGAGUCUUAUCCACUGUCAGGCCAGCAGUCCGACCACGAGGCUACACGUGUCACUUUACAUAGUGUACAAGCCUCCAAGAUUUCAGUGUCAGAAUCAGUGUUAUCCUAAUGAACUCUGCCCUCUCCCCUCCCAUCCCCCUUCAUAUUUUUUGUCUCUUUCUCUCUGCAGAUACACUGAAUAUGUUCUCAGAUUUCAGAUAAAUUUGGAACAUUUUCAUUUAUAAUCCUAAUUAGCAGACAUGAGAGGAGCUGACCUCUUUUAAGUAACUGGAAAGGUUGAGUCAUUGAGGCCUGAGUAACCAAGGUCAAAAUAUGAUGCUGAGCACACGCCUUACAGUAAUCUAGUUUGGACUUUACAACAUUAGAGAUAUUAAACUAUAAAUCUUCAAAACACAAAGAUCUACUUUUCCUCUAUGAAAAAAUAAGAUACAGUUGUUUUUUAAACUGGAAAUUGUUAAUGGAAGAGAGUCAUAGUAUUUCACGUAGCUGCAGUGCAUCCGCUCCUGUUUAGGUCUAUUCACAUUAGCAAUAAUACUUAGGAUAAAGCUGCUUCUGUCUUUAAUACAGGAUCUGUUAUGUCACGAGAGGUUCAAUGCCUGCAACAAGCACCAUUACAUAACGAUGCUUCAUCCACACUAUAUUGGCAUGCAUUAGCCAACAAGGAUGAGAGGCAUGCAGCUGUGGGAAUCGAUGUUCCUCUUUACAUGCUGCAUCAGAGAUAUGAAAAUGGGUCCAAGGAGCAGGUGGCCUGAUAUUUCUUACUACGUUUCCUCUUUCUCCCUAAGAGGAAGAACAAGAACAUCUCUGGUUCUCUUACACUAAUCCGUGUUCAAAAUUGAUAUAAUUUGUUAGAGCAGGUUAUUACAGCAUUACGACGACUCUGACCUCACAGCAUCUUCAGUGUUAAAAGCAGGAGUGAGGAGGGACACACUGCUCCACAUGCAGUCCUCUGGAGCAGCACCCAUUCAAUAAAGAUUUCAGAGUGAAAGGAGCGCUUACA